GCAGUGGUGGUUCACUGGUAGAAUUUUCACCUUCCAUGCAGAAGACCUGGGUUCGAUUCCCAGCCAGUGCA
rnacentral:tRNA from 1 species